rnacentral:rRNA from 1 species
GUGGUAUCCUGUCUGAAUAUGGGGGGACCAUCCUCCAAGGCUAAAUACUCCUGACUGACCGAUAGUGAACCAGUACCGUGAGGGAAAGGCGAAAAGAACCCCGGCGAGGGGAGUGAAAAAGAACCUGAAACCGUGUACGUACAAGCAGUGGGAGCCCCACCACCAAAGCAUUUGCUGUACCGCGUUGACGGAGCGAAGCGACGUCAAACCGAUAAAACAGCAGUGUAAAGUGAGCCGCAGGGCGCUUUGCGCGACAGCGCAAAGGCAGGCGGUUUCGCGUAGCGAAAGCGAAUGCUUUGGGGUGGGGUGACUGCGUACCUUUUGUAUAAUGGGUCAGCGACUUAUAUUCUGUAGCAAGGUUAACCGAAUAGGGGAGCCGGAGGGAAACCGAGUCUUAAUUGGGCGUUAAGUUGCAGGGUAUAGACCCGAAACCCGGUGAUCUAGCCAUGGGCAGGUUGAAGGUUGGGUAACACUAACUGGAGGACCGAACCGACUAAUGUUGAAAAAUUAGCGGAUGACCUGUGGCUGGGGGUGAAAGGCCAAUCAAACCGGGAGAUAGCUGGUUCUCCCCGAAAGCUAUUUAGGUAGCGCCUCGUGAAUUCAUCUCCGGGGGUAGAGCACUGUUUCGGCUAGGGGGCCAUCCCGGCUUACCAACCCGAUGCAAACUGCGAAUACCGGAGAAUGUUAUCACGGGAGACACACGGCGGGUGCUAACGUCCGUCGUGAAGAGGGAAACAACCCAGACCGCCAGCUAAGGUCCCAAAGUCAUGGUUAAGUGGGAAACGAUGUGGGAAGGCCCAGACAGCCAGGAUGUUGGCUUAGAAGCAGCCAUCAUUUAAAGAAAGCGUAAUAGCUCACUGGUCGAGUCGGCCUGCGCGGAAGAUGUAACGGGGCUAAACCAUGCACCGAAGCUGCGGCAGCGACACUGUGUGUUGUUGGGUAGGGGAGCGUUCUGUAAGCCUGUGAAGGUGUGUCGUGAGGCAUGCUGGAGGUAUCAGAAGUGCGAAUGCUGACAUAAGUAACGAUAAAGCGGGUGAAAAGCCCGCUCGCCGGAAGACCAAGGGUUCCUGUCCAACGUUAAUCGGGGCAGGGUGAGUCGACCCCUAAGGCGAGGCCGAAAGGCGUAGUCGAUGGGAAACGGGUUAAUAUUCCCGUACUUGGUGUUACUGCGAAGGGGGGACGGAGAAGGCUAUGUUGGCCGGGCGACGGUUGUCCCGGUUUAAGCGUGUAGGUGUGUGUUCCAGGUAAAUCCGGUUCACUUUAACACUGAGGCGUGACGACGAGGCACUACGGUGCUGAAGCAACAAAUGCCCUGCUUCCAGGAAAAGCCUCUAAGCAUCAGGUAACAUCAAAUCGUACCCCAAACCGACACAGGUGGUCAGGUAGAGAAUACCAAGGCGCUUGAGAGAACUCGGGUGAAGGAACUAGGCAAAAUGGUGCCGUAACUUCGGGAGAAGGCACGCUGACACGUAGGUGAAGUGAUUUACUCAUGGAGCUGAAGUCAGUCGAAGAUACCAGCUGGCUGCAACUGUUUAUUAAAAACACAGCACUGUGCAAACACGAAAGUGGACGUAUACGGUGUGACGCCUGCCCGGUGCCGGAAGGUUAAUUGAUGGGGUCAGCGCAAGCGAAGCUCCUGAUCGAAGCCCCGGUAAACGGCGGCCGUAACUAUAACGGUCCUAAGGUAGCGAAAUUCCUUGUCGGGUAAGUUCCGACCUGCACGAAUGGCGUAAUGAUGGCCAGGCUGUCUCCACCCGAGACUCAGUGAAAUUGAACUCGCUGUGAAGAUGCAGUGUACCCGCGGCAAGACGGAAAGACCCCGUGAACCUUUACUAUAGCUUGACACUGAACAUUGAGCCUUGAUGUGUAGGAUAGGUGGGAGGCUUUGAAGUGUGGACGCCAGUCUGCAUGGAGCCGACCUUGAAAUACCACCCUUUAAUGUUUGAUGUUCUAACGUGGACCCGUUACCCGGGUUGCGGACAGUGUCUGGUGGGUAGUUUGACUGGGGCGGUCUCCUCCUAAAGAGUAACGGAGGAGCACGAAGGUUGGCUAAUCCUGGUCGGACAUCAGGAGGUUAGUGCAAUGGCAUAAGCCAGCUUGACUGCGAGCGUGACGGCGCGAGCAGGUGCGAAAGCAGGUCAUAGUGAUCCGGUGGUUCUGAAUGGAAGGGCCAUCGCUCAACGGAUAAAAGGUACUCCGGGGAUAACAGGCUGAUACCGCCCAAGAGUUCAUAUCGACGGCGGUGUUUGGCACCUCGAUGUCGGCUCAUCACAUCCUGGGGCUGAAGUAGGUCCCAAGGGUAUGGCUGUUCGCCAUUUAAAGUGGUACGCGAGCUGGGUUUAGAACGUCGUGAGACAGUUCGGUCCCUAUCUGCCGUGGGCGCUGGAGAACUGAGGGGGGCUGCUCCUAGUACGAGAGGACCGGAGUGGACGCAUCACUGGUGUUCGGGUUGUCAUGCCAAUGGCACUGCCCGGUAGCUAAAUGCGGAAGAGAUAAGUGCUGAAAGCAUCUAAGCACGAAACUUGCCCCGA